CGGGACGGGUGAGUAAUGUCUGGGAAACUGCCUGAUGGAGGGGGAUAACUACUGGAAACGGUAGCUAAUACCGCAUAACGUCGCAAGACCAAAGAGGGGGACCUUCGGGGCCUCUUGCCAUCGGAUGUGCCCAGAUGGGAUUAGCUAGUAGGUGGGGUAACGGCUCACCUAGGCGACGAUCCCUAGCUGGUCUGAGAGGAUGACCAGCCACACUGGAACUGAGACACGGUCCAG
rnacentral:rRNA from 1 species